AACGAACGCUGGCGGCAUGCCUAACACAUGCAAGUCGAACGAGACCUUCGGGUCUAGUGGCGCACGGGUGCGUCACGCGUGGGAACCUGCCCUUAGGUUCGGAAUAACUCCCCGAAAUGGGUGCUAAUACCGGAUAAUUUCUUCGGACCAAAGAUUUAUCGCCUUUGGAUGGGCCCGCGUUGGAUUAGCUUGUUGGUAGUGUAAAAGCCUACCAAGGCUACGAUCCAUAGCUGGUCUGAGAGGAUGAUCAGCCACACUGGGACUGAGACACGGCCCAGACUCCUACGGGAGGCAGCAGUGGGGAAUAUUGGAAAAUGGGCGAAAGCCUGAUCCAGCAAUGCCGCGUGAGUGAUGAAGGCCUGAGGGUUGAAAAGCUCUUUUACCCGGGAUGAUAAUGACAGUACCGGGAGAAUAAGCUCCGGCUAACUCCGUG
rnacentral:rRNA from 1 species